AAAGGAAUUGACGGGGGCCCGCACAAGCGGAGGAACAUGUGGUUUAAUUCGAUGAUACGCGAGGAACCUUACCCGGGCUCGAACGGUGCAGGAAUACAGGAGAGAUUCUGUAGCAUAGCAAUAUGUCUGUAUCGAGGUGCUGCAUGGUUGUCGUCAGCUCGUGCCGUGAGGUGUAGGCUUAAGUGCCAUAACGAGCGCAACCCUUGUCGUCAGUUGCCAGCACGUAGUGGUGGGCACUCUGGCGAGACUGCCGCCGUAAGGUGUGAGGAAGGGGGGGAUGACGUCAAAUCAGCACGGCCCUUACGUCCGGGGCGACACACGUGUUACAAUGGCAGGUACAGAGGGGAGCGAGGCGGCGACGCCGAGCCAAUCUCGAAAGCCUGUCUCAGUUCGGACUGGAGUCUGCAACCCGACUCCACGAAGCUGGAUUCGCUAGUAAUCGCGCAUCAGCCAUGGCGCGGUGAAUACGUUCCCGGGCCUUGUACACACCGCCCGU
rnacentral:rRNA from 1 species